rnacentral:lncRNA from 1 species
AGCAGCUGUCUGUGCACUGGAGUGCCUUGAAACCUUUCUCUGUGAGGUUUUGGACACGUUUCUCUUUGGGAUUUCUUGUGACACAUCACCCAGGAGAAAUCAUUAAGCUCCUCCCAUCUUUGCCAGAAGCUUCAGUGUUUAAGCAGCCAGAGCCAAGAGGCUUCAGCACCAGGGGUGUGCACUGGAGGGCUCCUGGUCCUGCCCACGCUGUGGGGGAGCCAGGGCUGGCACAAGGACUCGUGCAGGUGCUGCUCUGGCACUGGAGCUGUUGCCCUGUGGAGCCAUUUUAAAGGUGUGAUUAUGGAACAUUUUGGAGGCUGUUUCUGGAAUUCCAUUUGUAGCUGGAUCUCGCUCCGAGUGCAGCAGUCCAGGUGAGGGUUCUGACCUCUCCAGACUUGUGCUCACCUUGGUACAGCCCGGGGCUGGAGCAGUUUUCCAGGGAAGUGGAGAUGGCUGAGGAUGGGUGCUCUGGAAAGCAGGGACCUGCUGGGAUUUGCAUUUGCAAAGCUGCCGUGAAGUUUGUAAAACCAGCAGGAAAUUCUAAUUCCUGUGGUUUUUGGGGAGGAGGUGCAGGUCACCCUGAGAGCUAGAUCAGAACUGGUUUGUGGUAAGGAGUCUGAGGUGUGUAAGUGCCACAGCUGGUAUGAGCUGUGUGCUAAAUGCAGUCCCAGCCCCAGAGGGAGGCUGAUGGGCUCUGCUCAUUGCUGUCCCCAGCUGUCCCCAGCCCGCUGCUCCCCCGUGGAUCUGCUCUGGAUUCGGGCUGUCGGUGCUGGAGCGCCCUGCUCCCUGCAGGGCCCUGCCCCUAACCCUCGCAGAGAGAGAGAGCCCUGCUGGCCAGAGUGAUCUUUUUUCAUUUUUUCUCCCUGUGCUGUUAGCAAGGAAGGGAUGGGACUGCUCUUGGGCCGGGAGCACUCAGUGCUCAGGUGAACACCCGCCUGGGAGCGUGAGGGUUUGCAGAGCGAGCAGCUGCUGCGGCUCAGGAGCAGCCACAAGUUCUUUGUUCCAAGGCAGGCCAGAACUUUCUAACCCCGGGGUUUAUUUGGCUUUUCGAACCCAUCACCUCUGCUCAGUUCUGCCGCACUGAGGGUACUUUUGUUCAAUGCCUUCUGUUGGAACUUGUCAGCUCUCAGUGUAGCGCACACAGCCCCAGCCCUGCCCUGCAAACCCUUCCCCAUCGUGCCCACACAGUUUCCUCUCUCACUCACUCGGGGCAGGUUCUUACUGACAGCCACAGAAACAGAAGUUAUUUUAUGUUGUUUUAUUCUUUUCCUGCGUAAUGCCCGUGUCUUGUAUUGGUACAUCAAUCCCAGCUUCUCCCGAGGCUGCAGAUCAAAUCUUUCAGUGUCUGUGGGAGUUUCUGGUUUUCCCAUUCCCACGUCUCCCCUCUCUCUCUGUAUGAAAAAAAAAAUUUAAUAAUGGAUUUGUUAAGCAUUUGUUGCAUAAAUUAACAUACAGAAGGUGUUAUCAUUAGUAUUAUUAUUGUAAUAAUAUAAUUAAAAUGUAUACUUUUGUUACAAGAUUUUUUAAUUAUGGUGUUAAAUUUUAUUUAUUGUUAUGUUUUAUUAGUUAUUCUUAUUUUUGAUAUUUCUUAAAGUUGUACACUUUAAUAAGUAGAUUUGGUGUUUUAGAUAAAUGUAUACAUUUUAUUAAAUUUUUAUAUUUAUAUUUGUAUGUUAAUAAAAUAAAUUUUUUUGUUGGUUUUUUGGUAAAACUGCGUAUUUAAUAGUUUUAUAUUUGUUUAAAAGUUAUUUAGGGUAAGGGAUGUCGAAUUAGAUUGUUUAUUUAGAUAAUAUUUUAAUUGAUUUAAUUGUUUUAGUGUUGUUGAAGUAAUAGGUGGUAUAAAAACUGAUGCUACCAUUUUGAUUUUAAGUUUCAAGGCUUAAAAUUACUUUUAUAUUUUGAUUACUAUUGAUGGAUAAAUGCCUUUUUUGUUUUAAAUUGGUAGCUAUUUUAAUAUUAAGAGUUAAUAAUGUAAGGGCUUUUUAAUUAUAUGGACUAUUUGUAAUGGUUUUUAUUGGUAUCUUAAGUAAGUAAGUAAAGAAUGGAUUUUUUUGAGUAGUGCUAGAUAAAUACAAAGCAUUUAAACUUGAAACUUUAGUUAAAGUUACUUAAAUGUUUGUUUUAGGUUGGUUAAUUGGUAAAGUGACAUAAUUAAAAGUAAAUAAAGUAGAGUAGAAGUAAAAUAUUUGAUAUAAUUUCAUAAUUUGUAAGUUACUAAAUAAGAUUUUUAUAACAUUGAUUUUUAUAUUUAUAAAGAAACUUACAGUUUAUAUAUUUUGGUGGGUGUAGUACACGAUGUUAGGUGUAAGUUGCAAUUCUUGUGUAAUCUGCGUUUGUAUUUCCAUAGUGUAAUUUGUCUUUGUAUUUACAUUGGUGUUUUAUUUGUGGAGCGGUGAGUGUGUUUUUUGUGUGAUCUGAUUUUAUGUUUCUUAUUGAAAUUUACUUGGGUUUUUGUACUUGUUGAGAUAUAAGUAAACUUUAUGUUUUGAUAUGAGAAAUAAUGAUAUAAGUUGUUAUAAUUUUUCAGUUAUAAGUAUGAAGAAAUAUAAGAGUAAAAUAAUGUAUGUAGUAAAGAAGAAAUUGAUAAUAAUUAGGAAUUACUUAGGUAAUAUCUAUAAUUAGUAACAUAGGUGAAAUUAUAUAAUUAGUAAGUAUUAAAAGAUUGUACAUACUUUUAGAGUUUAUAACAGUUGAUAAAUAUUAAAUUAGUGGUAAGUUAAAUAAUUAUGUGUGGAUAAUGAUUUUUCAAGUUUAUUUUAAAAAUAAGUUUAUUUGUUAUAUUGUUAAAGUUAAAUUGUUAAGUUAAAAUUAUUUGAAUUUAUUUUUGACGUAGAAAAUAUUUGGGUUUGUUGUUAAUUAUUUUAUUUAGGUAGAGUUAGGGUUAGGUUAUAGUUUAAAUUUUAAUUGGUGAAUGUUAUUUAAUAUAUUUUUAUAUAAUGUUUUUAAAAAUAGUAGUUAAGAGUAAAAAUGUUAGGAUUAAAGAUUAAUUACAUUAUUUAAUAAUUGGAUUUUUUUAGAAGUUUUUUAGAAUAGAGAUGCUUUGAAUAUAGUAAACUUCUUUUUAAAGAUUUGAAAGUGGUUAUGGACAGGAUUGUGAGUUUGGAUUUGGAUAUUGAGAGUGUGAAGGUGGAGGAAAUGUAUGAGAGAGUGAUUACUUAGUGUGAAACUUAGAAAAAGAAAUUAAUGUUGUAGUUGGAUUUUGUAUUCAAGUGAUUUUGUAAUAAUAACUGAGGAAAGUGAUAAGAUUAACAGUUUGGAGGAGGUUUUUAAUGAAAUACCUUUUUAAUCUUGAAAAAUAGUUUAAAUUAUGAUAGAACAUUAAGUUAAAUUAUAGAGUUAGUGUAGAGAUUAGUUAGAGAGUUAACUUGGUUUAAGCGCUGUAUAAGUUGAGAAUAAAAAAGUAGGAAUUAGAAAUUUUAUGUGUUUUUUUUAGAUCAUUCUAUAAAGAGAUAAUAAAGUAUAUGAAAGUUGGUUGUAAAUAUCAUAACAAUAUUUAAUAAAUAUUGUUUAUUAUAAAAGAUAAUAUAUUGAUAUAAUAUAAUUAGUAUAUUAGUGGUAAGUGUUUGAAGAAGUUAGGAUAACUUUUAAAAAAUAUUUAUAUAUUAAGGAAAUAGAGUAAAAUUUUCAAACAGCAUGAUAUGAAUAGUAAUUGCUAUUUUUUGGUGUUGCUUCUAAAAGAUAAGAGUAGAGAUUGUAAUGAAGUACAGAAUUUUUGAUGAAAUUGAUGAUAUAAUACAGUGUACUUUUUUUUACUUCUGAAUAGGUGUUUGUUAGUGUUUUCUUUUAGUUGUUUUAAUUGGAGGUGUUUUAAUUUUUUAAGAAAAUUGACCAUAUACUGUAUAGUUUAGAGAAAUGAUUUUCAAUAAAAUUUAGCAUAAGUUAUAUUAAAUAACAUUUAAAUUUAGACUGAAUUAAUUUUGAUAGUAAGGAAUAAUAAACUUAAUUUUAAUUGAUAAAAAGAAAAUGUAUUUGUUUAAAUGUAUUGACACUUAAUUUUGUUUGAUUUCAUUAAUACCUAACAUAUUUAAUGUUAUUACUUAUAAAUAUUGAAGGUUUUUUUAAGUCUUUUGGUUUUGAAGAAAUUUUAGCUUGUUGAGUUAUGAUUAUUACUUAUAUCUUUACAGGGUGGUUUUACUUAUUGGGAGACAUGUUUCUUAGGAAAAUAUUUUUAUUUGUGUUACAUUUCAAAUGGUACUAAUUUGUAUAGUGUUUUUUUUUUUUUAAUGCAGGAUAUUGAUUAGAUUGUUUUAUAGUUUUUGUGGGCUUUGACAAAUAUUUAUAUGGUUAGGCUUUUCUAUAUUUGAAGUAUGUUUUGAUGGUUUUUGUUGUUUAGAAUUUGAAGAGUAUUUGGUGUUUGGAGGAAAUAAAGGUGAGGGUUUUUUGGAUACGGUUGAGUUGUAUUUUUAAUGUUAGUAAGGACUACUUUUGGUACGUUAUUUUGAUUUUUUUGUUUGGUUAUGGGGAGGGUCUCCUGUUAGAUGUGCAAGCAUGAGACUGGCACUAGGGCUUUUUGUCUAAUGGUUGAUGGGUCUCUUUUAUGGGGAGGAGGUGUUAUUUUAAGU